GAUGAAGAACGUAGCGAAAUGCGAUAAGUAAUGUGAAUUGCAGAAUUCAGUGAAUCAUCGAAUCUUUGAACGCACAUUGCGCCCGCCAGCAUUCUGGCGGGCAUGCCUGUUUGAGCGUCAUUUCAACCCUCAAGCUCUGCUUGGUGUUGGGGCCCUACGGUUGACGUAGGCCCUUAAAGGUAGUGGCGGACCCUCUCGGAGCCUCCUUUGCGUAGUAACUAACGUCUCGCAUUGGGAUUCGGAGGGACUCUUGCCGUAAAACCCCCAAAUUUUCUAAUGGUUGACCUCGGAUCAGGUAGGAAUACCCGCUGAACUUAAGCAUAUCAAUAAGCGGAGGA
rnacentral:misc_RNA from 1 species